rnacentral:rRNA from 1 species
AUUGAACGCUGGCGGCAUGCUUUACACAAGCAAGUCGAACGGUAACAGGCCGCAAGGUUCUGACGAGUGGCGAACGGGUGGGUAAUUCAUCGGAACGUGCCCAGUCGUUGGGGAUAACUACUCGAAAGAGUAGCUAAUACCGCAUACGAUCUAUGGAUGAAAUGGGGGGACCGGAAGGCCUCGCGCGGUUGGAGCGGCCGGUGUCAGAUUAGGUAGUGGGUGGGGUAAAGGCUCACCAAGCCAACGAUCUGUAGCUGUACUGAGAGGACGACAAUCCACACUGGGACUGAGACACGGCCCAGACUCCUAAGGGAGGCAGCAGUGGGGAAUUUUGGACAAUGGGCGCAAGCCUGAUCCAGCAAUGCCGCGUGCAGGAAGAAGGCCUUCGGGUUGUAAACUGCUUUUGUACGGAACGAAACGGCUCUGGUUAAUACCCGGGGCUAAUGACGGUACCGUAAGAAUAAGCACCGGCUAACUACGUG